AACUCACUGGAGAGAUCUGGCCACAAAGACCUAUGUCAAGUCCUGGUUAACAGGGAAGUGUGUGGUUCAAGAAAGGGGAGGAAAUUGGCAGCUGGCACUGAAGGCUUUCCAUGAAUUCAGCCUUAGUGACUAAAUGCAGACAACAGAGAAGAUGUGGAUGUCAAGCUGGUGGAGACUAUUCUGGACUAUUCACAUUUCUGGGAGGAAAGGAACUACAGGCAAAUGGGAUACUGAACUGGACCACAGAG